AUUUUUAUUUUUUUAUUUUUAUGUAUGUAUCUAUGUUUGUGUAUAGAGUAUCUGCAAAUGAGAGUAGGUGUCUGAGGAGUUGAGAAGAGAGUGUUUGAGUACCCGGAGCUAGAGUGAUUGUGGGUUAGUUGCUAUGGUUGCUGGGAACAGACUGUGGCUUCUCUAGAAGAGUAGAACAUGGUCUUAACCACUAAGGCAUAUCCCCAGACCCUAGUAACCUCUAACUGUGUAGUAAUUUAGUUGCAGAGCUACUAAAAAGUUUAUGACUACAUAGUUUAUUUCUUUUGUGCCUUGUGUUCUUUUUGAUCCUGGAGUUUGUGUGGGUCCAUGAGUCCUGUUAUGCAUCUGUCUUGACCUCUUUCUUCAUAGGAUUGUUGUGUAAGAUCCAAUCUCAUAAGAAAAUAAUCGUGUCAGCUAUAAAAUGGCUCCUAAAUGUAUUAAAUAUUUAUUAGAAAAUUCUGUGUUAGAAGCUACUUUGUUUGCUUAUAGCAAUGGGUGGUUUUAUUACUGUUUUAUAUUGUAAACAAUUUCUAAAUUGUUUCUGCCUAAAACCUAAAGUAUUUUAAUCAUGCCUGAUGAUUUGUGUUGGUGUUUGGGUUUCUGACAAUUUAAGUAUUUGUUAACUAAAUUAUUUGAAAUAUAGACCAAGCUCAAACACUUUGCUCUUGAUAAAUUUUUGGAAAAUUCACACACACACACACACACACACUGCACUGCAUCAGGCUUGACGUUUAUCAUUUUUCAUGCUUUAUAUCUUGUCUGAUUCUAUUUGUGUUUAGGGCUCUUGGUGGUAUCGGUCAAUACGAUAUAGUGGAGACCAGAUUCUAAUACGUACAACACAGAUUUAUACAUACUUUGUUUAUAAAACUCGAAAUAUGGAUAUGAAACGUAAGUAAACUUAAGUAACUGCUGUUCGUUGCAUUGCUUUCCGAGUCAUUUAUAUGUUGCUAUAUAUUUUUUAAACUCUAUAGUAGAUUCAGUUUUAUAGUUUAUCAGAUUGAACCAGAAACCAGGAGGACCAUUGCUGACUGGCUCCCUCUCAAGCCUCACAUUCAGUGACUUAGGCCCCCUGCCUAGGAAUGGUACCUCUUCCACCAGCAGUUAAGAAAAUGCCCUCACAGUCAUGCCCACAGGCGAAGCUGAUGUAGAUAUUUCCUCAGUUAAGGUUCCCUCUUGUCAGGUGACUAGUUUAUGUGACUGAUGAGAGUGUAUAAAAUUACCAAGUUUCUGCAUAGCAAAGGCAACAAUUAAAUGAGUAAAAAAGUGGAGAAAGUGUUUGGUAACUAUAGAGCUGAGAGAGGAUCCAUGUCUAGAACACAUAAAGAGUUAGAGAGUCUUGUGUAAUUGUAUACACCUGUAAUCCUAGUACUCGAAGAGGCAGGGGUAUUAGGAUUGUCACAAGUUUGAUGCCAGCCUGGUCUACAUAGUGAGUUACAGCCUGGCCUAGGAGUCAGUGUCUCAAAAGGAAGAAGUCUAUCUAAUUCUAGUAAGACUUGCUGUUUUACAAAUGCUGGCAAGGAUGCAGUUGUUGGUGAGAAUGUACGUUAGUCCAACAGCUAUAGAAGUCAGCAUACGAUAAGCUAUACUACUUCUGGGAAUGUACCUAAAGGUCUCAGGUACCUCCACAUACAUGCUUACUGUGGUGUUGUUUACAAUGGCCAAGUUACAGAACAAGUGUAGGUGUCUGUCAACUGAUAAAUGGACAAGGAAGAUGUGGUGUAUAAGAAUGAACUUAGGACAGUUGCAAGAAAGUUGAUGAAACAGGAGAUAACUAUAUUGUGUAAAAUAAAUGAGAUUCAAAACAGUAUUGUAGGAAAUCAGCAUCUCAGAAACCCAAAGAGCAAGGUCUCAGCACAAAGACAGAGAACAGGGGAUAGAGACAAAGACAAGAGAUGGGGAUGAAGAUGAGGAGGUAGGGGAGGGGCUUUUGUUCCUGAGGGGCAGAGGACUGCCUUGGGAUAGAGAGGAGACUGAUGUGCUCCAUAGGCAGAUGGCAGUUUCUGAAGGUACAAGGGGAAACCCCGUGUAAGGAUGAGCUGUUGAGUUUUAGUUGGGCAUGUUAAUUAAUCAAAAGGGGGCUUUUGAUUGCUGGACUUUAAAUCUUUGAUAGCCGGACCUUUGUAAUCAGCCUCAGGAGGAAUAAGUGGCCAAAUAAGGGAAUAGGCCUUGGUGGUUAGCUUUAGGAAUGUAAUCUAAAUGUUUUUUAGAAAGGCAGAGGGACUUAGGGAGAAGGGCAAGGCCUACCAGAGCUAUGUUUACAAGCUGGCUAGUGUCCCUUCAAAUAUUACAUGAUUUCUUUCAAGUAUAUACUAGAUUUUUAUGUGUACACAUAAAAUCCUAAAUAUGCAUAUAUAAAUCUACCCAUACAUACACACACACACACACACACACACACACACACACACACACAAAUUCACAGACACAUACAUAUGGCAUGAAAGUUAAAGCAAGACUAUCUGGGAAAAGAAAGAAUACUAGCUGAAAAGGGAGGGACAGAUACGGUCCAAAUCUAGGAUAUAAUUGAGUACGAAUGUGAAAUCCUUCACUGUGUAUAGUAAAUAGACUGUAGAAAAGAAUGAAUAUCACUUUCUGUUAUGUUGGACUAGUAUAGGAACUAGUACUACUAUAGAAACUUAGUUCCUUACAAGAACAUUUCAUGGUCUUUGUUUUCCCCUGGGAUACUACUGACUUAAGAGAAUGGUAACUAGUCUCAUGUCAUUCUGUCACAAAGCACUUUUCAGCUGGUGGAUUUAUUUAUACAUCCUUCAUCUGUCUUUGGAACAGUUCUUUUCUUUUCUUCUUUUUUUUUGACCCACAUGAAAAUAUUUGAGCCCUGUGUAGUGGUAUACACCUUUAACCCCAGUACUUGGGAGACUGGGGCGGGCAGAUCUUGGUGAGUUUCAGGCCAGCCUGGACUACAUACCAAGUUCCAGGCCAAAGUUACGUGGUGAGACUAUCUCCCCCUCC
rnacentral:lncRNA from 1 species